rfam:Myotis brandtii contig233552, whole genome shotgun sequence.
AGAGGCCCAUCCGUGGCCAGGCGCAGAAUGCUUGCCUCUUCACUGGGGCGACGAAGCAAGCAUUCCGCCAGGCCGCUCACACUGCCUGC